CAAAAACUUGAAGGGAAUUUUGUUGUGUGGCUAGCGAGCCGCCACAUUCCUAAACUGACCAAAAUGACAGCAACAAGUAUCGGUCGUCGUCAGGUAGAAUUAGCGUUAACAGGAUGUCUGGACAUUAUAGCCAGUACCGCAAGCAACAGGACACAGACGCACACUCAAUAUUGUCUUCAGCUGCUACCAGAGGUACCAGAUUGUAUUCGAGGAGAGCCCGUCGCUGUACACGUCUCUUCCUAAACAUGCACAGCCCCCCUCUUCUCGCCCCUGCACUCUGCACAGGCGUCUCUUCCGCCAAUCAGGGUCCUUAUACAGCGUAUGAAGACCAGUGGCGAUUUCUCUAAGACUGCAAGGGAAGCUCAGCUUCCCCUAAAAUGUAAAAAAUUAAA